GCACCCUCCCCGGGCCAUCCUUCAUGUUGGUUAUGGUGUCGCGGCGGCCACCAGGCCCGCGAGAGCUGGGGGAGGCCGGGGAAAGGAGGCCCGGCGGUGUUGGGUUACCGGCGGGUCAGAAGAGCGAACAAGGAAGAGCGACUGGUGUGUCCUGAAAGUCGCCUGACCGCUCUGGUGCUUCCUCUGCGCCUCUCCGGUUCCUCCCGCCCUCCGCAUUCCUCCUUCUGUCUUCACUGCUGUCCACUUACAUCUUACACUGGACUCAGGCAACAGACUGCCUGCGCGAGCACCCCCCCCCCCCCCAGUCAUGGCCUGAAACACACCACGGGACUCAUCGCCCCCCCACUCCUCUGCUCCGCUCUGCACUUGAUAAUCUUUUAUUUGUUUGUUUUUGCUUUUCGAGACAGGGUUUCUCUGUGGAGCUUUGCGCCUUUUCUGGGACUCACUUGGUAGCCCAGGCUGGCCUGGAACUCACAGAGAUCCGCCUGGCUCUGCCUCCCAAGUGCUGGGAUUAAAGGCGUGCGCCACCACCGCCCGGCUCACUUGAUAAUCUUAUCUCCAAACUUCAUUGACUUAUUUCACUGAUGCCUGAAACCCCUCUGCUAGCUGCGGCCUUCCUUUAAAGCACUCAACAAGCGUAAAGGCCAUGUUUAUUCUGAUCUAUUCAUCCCACCAGCCCUUACAGAAUCUCCCUGCCUUCAUCCUGAAGCUGUAUGCUACUUUUUCAAACAGUCUGUAGACGUGCAUGUAGAAUGCGAGACAAGUGAGUGGCGUGCAGGUAGAGUCCUGGGUCCCCGUUGAAUCGGCUGGGUGACUUUGGUCAAAUGACUUAACCUUGUGAACCUUCUUCAGUUUGCUCUUGUUAAAAUAUGUGUCAUUUGGUUUGGUUUGGUUUUCAGGUAAACAGAUUGUGUCUGUAUUGGUAAUUAAAAUGACAAGUGUUCUGGUCUCUUCUGUCCCCCCAGGAUGUGGUAGGAAACUCUUACCCGGCUCCCUCGAGGUACCAUGUGGCCAUAUAGCUUGUAGGGGUUGAUAGAAUCAGUGCAAAAAUGACCAUUCUUCUACCUGGAAGCUUUGACAGCUAGGGAGUAAACUGUCGUGUGCUCUCCUCACCUUGACAAGCUGUGCAGAGAAGGGGCGAGCUGAGACCCUGGACAGCGAACAGAAUAGUCCCCAGGACGCCUGAGCUGGCAAGGCAGUGUGAGCAAGCCUCUUGCUGUGUUCAGCCAGUGAGAUGAUGCGUGUUCGUUACAGUGGCAGAGCCUGUUCUGAGAGCAUCACUCAAGUGUAGGCCCUUCGUCCCACCGGCCGAAUGGCCAGCACCUGCCACACGCCGGGAACCAUUUCACAACUGCAAAUGCUGUGGAAGGUAGCUGCUGUAAUCUGUUUCCACUUGGGGCAAUCAUAUCAGAAAGGUUUAAAACUUUGCCUAGCAUUACUCAGCUUGUACUGAGUAACAGCAGCCCUCCCUGCCCCUGGGAAGGAGGUAAGACCCAACUACAGUGUGCGGCACACAGUGGUGUCUGAGCACUGGCAGCUCCUGCCAAGCCUGGAUUCCUGUAGCAUUGAUCAGUGUGUGUGUGUUUUUUUUAUUACAUGUACCUAUCCUGUAUAUGUAUGUAUGCAUGUGUGUAUACAUAUGUCAAGAUAAGAGGACAGCUUUCAGACGUCAGCUCUCUCCUUCCACCAUGUGGCACCGAGGGACCAAACUCUGAUCAUCAAACUUGAUGGCAAGUGCCUUUAUCUGCUGAGCCAUGGCCAGUCCAUGUGUGGUUUAUUUUACACAGGACAUCUCCUCUAACCAGACCAGGCUCCUUGGUUCAGAGUUUGAGUUCUAGAGUCAAACUAACCGGGUUCAAAUCCUGUCCCAACAUUCACAGUGACUGUCUUGAACCAUUAUUUCCUGUGUCACUGCCAGUGGUAACUAUGUCCCACACGGUUGGUGUGGGUCUUAAAGGAUAGGAUACAUACUCAGUAGAUGAUGGCUAUUACUGUCAGGCUCACUGUAUUUCUUUCAAGCUCCCGCCAGAGUUCUGAGGAAUUAUCAGCAGUUUGACCAUACUGCUUGUCAGCUUCUGGUUCUGUGCUGGAUACUAGACAGAUGUUGUAACAUCUGUACUCACAAAAUAAAGUAGCCUAAGGUUCAUCACGGGGCCUUUAUUACAUUUGCUGUUUUCAAAGCAACUUAAAGUGUGUAUGUUUGCUUUCUUAAGAAAGCUUUGUUCAGAAAACACAAUAAUACCAACUAUUGUUUAUCUCGUGUGUGUGUGUGUGUGUGUGUGUGUGUGUAUGUGUGUGUGUGUGUGUGGUAUUAGGUAUUUGGUAUUUCACUGUUGAGAGAAAUAUCAACAAAGGUUGACUACAUUGUGUGCUAUCAAACAUAACAGUUUAAGUCAGGAUUUGAAUCCACUCGUCUAACUAAGGCUCCAAGCUGCCUAUGGUACAACUCCCAUGAGUUGCUAUUAUUGGUCUAUACUGAUAGGUGAGGUUUGACACGUUACCUAAGAUAUGACAUUUCUAACGUGGAUCUGUGAGCUGAUGGACAGCUGACUUGGAAAUAGCCACUUGAGAACAUGCUUAUUCUUCACUAUGGCAGAAGAAAUCUGUCAACCAGAAAUUCAUACUCCUCCUUUCUAGACGUUUCUGCCUGGGGUGUGGUGUGUGUGUGUGUGUGUGUGUGUGUGUGUGUGUGUGUGUGUGUGUGUGUGUGUCUCGUUCAAACCAUGUCCAUGUGAUAUAUAUAUAAUGGUUUAAAUAAACUGAACUGUCACCUAUGGA